CCUUCAUGAAGCCGGAAUUGCUAGUAAUGGCAGGUCAGCAUACUGCCGUGAAUACGUUCCCGGGCCUUGUACACACCGCCCGUCACACCAUGAGAGUUGGGGAUACCCGAAGCCUGUGAGCUAACUAUUUAUAGGAGCAGCAGUCGAAGGUAGAAUCAAUGAUUGGGGUGAAGUCGUAACAAGGUAUC
rnacentral:rRNA from 1 species